rnacentral:rRNA from 1 species
CAGCAGCCACGGUAAUACGAAGGGUGCAAGCGUUGCUCGGAAUUAUUGGGCGUAAAGGGUAGGUAGGUUGUCUUGUUUGUCUAAGGUGAAAUCCCAUGGCUUAACCGUGGAAGUGCCUUAGAAACGGCAAGACUAGAGUCCUAGAGGGGUUUGUGGAAUUCCCGGUGUAGCGGUGAAAUGCGUAGAGAUCGGGAGGAACACCAGCGGUGAAGGCGGCAAACUGGAUAGGAACUGACACUCAACUACGAAAGCGUGGGGACCAAACAGGAUUAGAUACCCGCGUAGUCCCUGUCUCUUAUAC